CCUACACCUAGUGCUCGGCCGGAACCUUGUUGCCAGGGGAGACCGGCGCUUUACGGCAGCGCGUUUGAACGGCGGCGGGGGAAAAGGCGCUGCCCCAGGAACCCUUGUCUGUUCAUUCGGAGCAAGCUGUACUUCCUGACAGUACGAGGAGGGAAGCGUCCUCCUGGUGCUUGCUGUUGCUCCUUCACACAUGGCUGUAGUGUCAGUGGAACACAGGGCCCUGAGGUCUCUGAGCUGCUGGGAGAAAUGACACCAUGCUCAGCGCACCCUGAGAGCACAACUGAAGCUGGCAGGAACAUUCCUACCUCUGUGCUGCCAUAGCUGGCAAAGCAUGCAGUACUUCUGCAGGGACUGUUUACCAAUACAUACAGGAAAGCUGUUGUUUUGGAGCUGUAAUGGUUUUGGAGCUUGCAACAUGGAUUCUGAAUAUACAGAAUUAACAUAAAGGAAACCAAAAAAGAAUAUAUAUCACUUUCCUGUGCUAUAGUGAUGGAUUACCUGCUCUGUUGACUUGGGCAAGACUGGAGAAUAAAAAAAACCAGGCAAACUUGUCCACUGCUGUGACAACCUAGCCUGAAGUGCCAAGUUCUGCAAACAGGCCAUUCUUCAUGAGCAGAAGAAAAUACUAAAUGGUACCCAGCCAGCCAGGGAUCACCAAAUGCGCCAGAGCAAAACCCAUGGUUGAACUGAAAAGGGAGCGUUAUGUAAGUUCUGCUGUGCAUUCUUCUUCUUGCUGCUCACUGAUGUUUCUCAUGUCCUACCAUACAAAAGCUCAGAGUGCCUUUCCUGCACUGGCUUUUCCUGUAUUUCAGGGCAUUAAAUAAUACGCAGAGCAAUUUCACAUAACAUUUGUAGCGUAUAUCUGUCAUUACAUAGCAUACGCUUGUAUACACACACAUGCAUAAAGCUAUUUUUAAAGAUUAGGAAGGUCACAAAGUCAUGGGCUUGGCCUAGAUUCCUGAUCCCUUGGUUAUGCCUGUGGCUGUCCCCUCAUCCCUCCCCAGGAGAUUGCUGCUGCUGUGGCUGCUGUCAGAUCCCCGUGUGUCAGCAAACUGCAAGCAGCAGUGGCUCAGCUAAGAAGUACUGUGCUGGACCAGCAGCUGCGGGCUCAGUCUUUCUCCCAUUUAUUUAAAGGGACUUAAGAGGUUACCAUGUCCAGUUGUACGACCAGCGUUAUUCUCAGCUGCUACAGCUAUAUCCAACAUGGAUGUCAGCUUCACAGAAAGGAAAUAUUAAUGAUUCUCUUUUCAGUCAGUUCCAAUUCGUAAUCAUGAUAACAUUACCCCAUCUCAUUCUGUGCUUUGAGAAGAUGUGUACUCAGUGAUUUAUUAGUUUUUCUUUCCUCUUUAUUCAAAAUAGUUCCUAAAUCCAAGCCAUACAGUUUAUGCAAAUCCCUAUUAUGAAGUCAACAAAGAAUUUCCAUUGCAGACAGUUUCAGUUGGAUGUUUAAGUUUGACUUAAUUUUUUGCUUAAUUGACAUACAUUAUAUAGAAUGUCAUAUAUCAUGUCAGACUCAUCAGAGCUGGCUUCCCAAAUGCUUUGAGACACUAACAAAGAUCACAACACGGGAAAUUCCUUAACCAAGAAAAGUAUUUGAGGAUUCAUUUGGACUUUCUUGUUCCAAUAGCAUCUACUAAAAAUACAUUUACCAGCUAGGAGUAGAAAUCUCUGCUUCUGUGGGUGUGAUAUGGGGAGAUAGGUAACAAGUACUCCAAGUACUUUUUAUUCCACUUUCCUUCUGGGAAAAGAUUCAGAUUUCUUCAAGCCUUUUGCUCUUCCCCAUCAGAAUCUUCACAAACUCAUCAGAAAGUUCUUUCUCUCUCAAUUAAAAGAAUGUCAAAGAUGCUUAAUUUCCCCUUUGCAGUCCUACUCACAUCUAAAUCUGCAUUUGACAUUUCAUGCUACGCCCAGUUCCAACAGAUGUAGGCUCUGCAUCCGUACAAUUAGGUACUGUGUUAAGUGAUAUCUAAUUAUAGGAGAUGUCUCCUUGAGCCAUAUGGCUUUCCCUGUAUUUUCCUAGAUGGUGUAUGAAAGGUAAAUGUGCAGUUUUGUUACAGAGAUCCACCAUUUUUGAGAAGUCAUGGGAAGGGUCAUGCUUCUCUGAGGGAUCCAGUGCUCCUUGGACAGUGUGGCCAGACCAUAUAGAACACUUUCUCCCAGCUGUAAAUAUGAGCUCAAAAGGAAAACAUAGGGAUUAAUUAAUAUCUGGACAUUGAUCUGGAGCCUGAGAAUUUAUGUUACAGGAUGAAACGCUGCAAUCAUUUCUGUAUCUUUCCCAUUUAGAAACAGUACUUUUCAAUUUUUGAAUUAGUAUUCAUUUCACUGCAAGAGACCUCUCUUCUGUUACCUGGCCACCUGGGAACCUUUUAUAAGAAAAAACAUCAUUCCAGUAUUAGAAGGAAUAUUUCAACUUGCCAUAUUUAAUCAGGACAUAUUGAAGCAAGAUGCGAAGUAGUAUCAGCUAAAAGCUAAACUGUCUUAGAUGCUAAGUGAGUGUAACCUUCCUGUCUGAAGAGAUCCAAAGAGUUUAAUAAAUUACUGGCUUAGUGCUAUGCACAAAAUAAUGAGUAGCAAUUUAACAAUAAAAGAAUUAAACAUUAAACACAGUAAGAAUAACCCACAAAGCUUAAGAUCGGUUAAGAUAUGUAUUAAAAUAUCUUAAUAUCUUAAGGGUUAAGGUUCGUGCAGAAGGGUGUCAGGUUUGUUUGCAUGCCUCCCCCGUUUGGGAUUAGAUCACAUUCCCCAAGGCUGGAGGCAAUCUCCUUGUUAUCAUUUUCCAUUAUGAAAUUUUCAGUGCUGCUCUGUCAGGCUGCAACCACGUCUUUACUGUGCAGCAGACAUGCAGCCGGCUGUCAGCCGCUCUGCGUGCAAACAGCUCAGCCAUCACUGGGAGCAUUGCCUGCUCACCCAGUGGUGCUGUUAUCCAUCCGAUCCUGGAGCAGGAAUUUGCAGGGGCACCUAAGGAGGAGGAAGACGAGGCUGUUCCCUGACAGCUCUCUGAAAUGGACUCAGGGUGUGUUUGGCCAGUGCUUCACUACAUUUUGCUGAGUCAAGUCGGCAUUAAAGUGAAUACAAGUUCUCCCCUGGGAGUCCUGACUACAGCUGAGGAUGUGAGGAAGUUAAGGAGGGAAGCUUUCAGAGCCUUGGAGUACUUUCAGAGCCUUUUUUUUUUUUUCUUUCUUUCUUUUUAAUACUCAGGAAAAAAUGAAAGGCAAGACCCAUGAUCCAUGGUACCUGAAAACUGUUCUUACACCCAUAUGCAUCUUCACUCCAGUUGAUUUCAUCUGGAGGAUCCCUACUGGAGAAGGAAUUUUGGGGUGACUUGUUAUCCACUACCCAAUCUACCCAGAGCUGUCCGUAGUAGGCAUUACUAUGAAACUUGCCAGCAUCAGUGCUGUGUCUCUUCCAGACCCAGCUAUUACUGAGCAGCCUCCAUUUUUCCAUGCUUGAAUUGGUUGUACAUGGCAUCUGGCAGGUUUCUUUCAGUGCAUUUGGUAUUUAGUAGUAUUCUGUAUCAUUACGAGAGUGUUUCAGUGCAACUUGGUGGGAGUAAUCUGUAUGUAGUUCAUUCAUCUCAGGGCAGUAGAAAGCAAAAUGUUUCUUGGAGGGACAGAGCUGAAAGGAAUCUGUCCCCCGAAGCUCAGUGCAGGCAGUUCUGCAGUGCAGAUGGAAGGAUGGGUGCUGGAAGGCAAUGUCAGGGGUACAGCCUGCAGAGCUGCUUGUAAAAAGACACGCAAAAAAAAACCCAACAAGACAAUGAAAACGUGCUCUGGGGAAGAAGUCCAGCGAAUGAACUGUUGGCAAAGCUCUGGCUGAGAAUAGUCUUCAAUGGCAACACUGUAGCUGCCUUCUAGUGUCUCAUUCCUAACUCCAGGGACUUAACGUGGGAGCCUCAGCGACCCCUCUAUUACCUGCACGGCGCAGAUCGGAGAAAUGACCCAUUACCGUGCUUUCGAGCAGAACAAAGCCGCUAGAUCCGACUGGAAGCCCUGCAGAGGCACCAGGAGAUGGAUAGGGAUGCUCCUCCAUCAGGAAGAGCCUCGGGGCAGGACGGGGAGGAAAGGUCAGACUUCAGUCAAUGUUAGUGCCUUGAGAGCCCUUGGUUGGUUUUGCUUUGCUUUGUUCCUCUAUCACUUUAAAUAUCUUUCAUUUAUCUACCUAAGUGGCCUAGAAUGAAGUGUUUCGACAUAAUGAAGCACAGCUAUAGAACAAGAGGAGUUCGAACUAUUUUAACUGGUAAUCAUCCCCAGAAUUUCCAAGUAAAAAUCUUUUGUAUACAGUUAGAAAGAAAAAAAAAAA